rnacentral:tRNA from 1 species
GGGGUUGUGGCUCAGCGGUAGAGCACUUGCCUUGCACUCACGAGACCCUGGAUUCGAUCCUCAACACCA